GACGAACGCUGGCGGCGUGCUUAACACAUGCAAGUCGAGCGGUAAGGCCCUUUCGGGGUACACGAGCGGCGAACGGGUGAGUAACACGUGGGUGACCUGCCCUCAGCUCUGGGAUAAGCCUGGGAAACUGGGUCUAAUACUGGAUAUGACUCCACGGUGCAUGUCGUGGGGUGGAAAGCCUUGUGCGGCUGAGGAUGGGCCCGCGGCCUAUCAGCUUGUUGGGGGGUGAUGGCCUACCAAGGCGACGACGGGUAGCCGGCCUGAGAGGGCGACCGGCCACACUGGGACUGAGACACGGCCCAGACUCCUACGGGAGGCAGCAGUGGGGAAUCUUGCGCAAUGGGCGAAAGCCUGACGCAGCGACGCCGCGUGAGGGAUGACGGCCU
rnacentral:rRNA from 1 species